rnacentral:rRNA from 1 species
UACGGGGGGAGCAAGCGUUGUUCGGAUUUACUGGGCGUAAAGGGCGCGUAGGCGGCCAGCACAAGUCAGUUGUGAAAUCUCCGAGCUUAACUCGGAAAGGUCAACUGAUACUGUGCGGCUAGAGUGCGGAAGGGGCAACUGGAAUUCUUGGUGUAGCGGUGAAAUGCGUAGAUAUCAAGAGGAACACCUGCGGCGAAGGCGGUUCUCUGGGAAUAUCCUGACGCUGAGGAGCGAAAGUGUGGGGAGCGAACAGG